AAAAUAAGUUACAAAGUUGUGAAUAGAUAAACAUGUAUUUGUAAUAAAAUAGUUUAAAGUUGUGAAUAAGUAAAUGUUAAUUAGUUUUGUAUGGAGGUUUAAAAGAGUAAUCCUUAUAGAUAAGAAUGAAAAGAUACAUUAAGAACAAAAUGAGUGUUCUUUAGGAAUCUAAAGUUAUAGAAUAAUAAUAAGAUUUAUGAUACGAGUGAGAAGUAAAGAAAUUUGUGGGCUACUAACUAGUUUAAUAUAAAGAUUUGAAAGAUAAAUGAAAAUUUCAGAAUCAAAAUUUGAGGGGUGUUACAAUUCUCAUUGUAAUACCCAAUUUUGGCCCGGGCCUGUAAAAAAUUUUAUAAACCCAAUAUCAGGCCUAAUACCUAAACCCGAAUAACCCAACACCAGACCCAAACCCUAGCCCAACUCGAAGUGGCCCAUUUGCUUGAAGCAUCCAGAAACCCUUAGGGUUUCUUGAACAAUUUGCAUCGCAGUCAAGCCAGACUCCUCUCCGCACACGCAUCAGCCUCCCCCGCGUGCGUCUCGCCUCCAGCUGACUCCUACAACAAACAACAGCAACAAAAACAACCAUGCAACAAGAAAGAUAUAGAAAAAUAAUAGAAAAAUGCGGGGAAAUAACAAAAAAGAUAUAGAUUUGAUUUUGAUUGUUUUUCCCUCUUAUUUUCGGCUAUACAAGGUCGAUUUAAAUUUGUAAAAGGGGGGAGUACUAGAUUCUGAGAAAUCAAUAAAAAAAAGACGAAAAACUGAAUUCCUUCAAAGGUGAUUAUUCUGCGUCUUUUUCAUCUUCUUUGUUUUUUUAUUUUUUUAUUUUUUCAUUAUUUGACUCAAAACAAACAAAGGAGUAAUAAAGGAAAGAGAUGAUACCUUCGCGGGGCGCCAAUGAAGCCCUCCCUCUGUGCAAAACAGAGUUGAAUGGGCGGAGGCCUUGAAGAUGAAACGGCAGAGAAUGGGGAAACUGGAGGCGGCAUUCUCCUUUCCUUUGCGGUUUUGAAUGAAAAUGUUCAAAUUUAGGUUUUUUUUUAGUUUUAAAAUGUUUUCGAAAACAGCACCGUUUAAAGGUGAGACCCAAUGACUCGACCUGAACGAGAUCAGAUCCGCACGUUCUGGGUUCGCAAGGGUUAUUUGCGCAUUGGAUCCCUCGGUUUUAUAUCCUUGUUUCAAUUUUGUUUGUUUAUUCCUUUAAAUUCACCCUGUUCAAUUUGAGUUCACUCAUUCUGGUCCGUGUCAAUGCGUAGCGUUUUGGGAGGCGGAAUAUUUCCAACCUGGCCCCCAUGUAAUUCGCGUGUAGCAGUUUAACCCUCCAUUUUAUUUUAAUUUCAUUUAUUUCUUGGUAAUUUUAUUGUAACUGUG
rnacentral:lncRNA from 1 species